GACAGAGGGUGCAAACGUUGUUCGGAAUUAUUGGGCGUAAAGAGCUCGUAGGCGGUGUGUCACGUCGGCCGUGAAAACCUGCAGCUUAACUGUGGGCGUGCGGUCGAUACGGGCAUCACUGGAGUUCGGCAGGGGAGACUGGAAUUCCUGGUGUAGCGGUGAAAUGCGCAGAUAUCAGGAGGAACACCGGUGGCGAAGGCGGGUCUCUGGGCCGAUACUGACGCUGAGGAGCGAAAGCGUGGGGAGCAAACAGG
rnacentral:rRNA from 1 species